GAUGAACGCUAGCUACAGGCUUAACACAUGCAAGUCGAGUGGAAACGACAUCGAAAGCUUGCUUUUGAUGGGCGUCGACCGGCGCACGGGUGAGUAACGCGUAUCCAACCUGCCCACCACUUGGGGAUAACCUUGCGAAAGUAAGACUAAUACCCAAUGAUAUCCCACGAAGACAUCUGAAUGGGAUUAAAGAUUUAUCGGUGAUGGAUGGGGAUGCGUCUGAUUAGCUUGUUGGCGGGGUAACGGCCCACCAAGGCAACGAUCAGUAGGGGUUCUGAGAGGAAGGUCCCCCACAUUGGAACUGAGACACGGUCCAAACUCCUACGGGAGGCAGCAGUGAGGAAUAUUGGUCAAUGGGCGAGAGCCUGAACCAGCCAAGUAGCGUGCAGGAAGACGGCCCUAUGGGUUGUAAACUGCUUUUAUAAGGGAAUAAAGUGGGUCACGUGUGACUUUUUGCAUGUACCUUAUGAAUAAGGACCGGCUAAUUCCGUG
rnacentral:rRNA from 1 species